UGGGGAAUUUUGGACAAUGGGGGCAACCCUGAUCCAGCCAUGCCGCGUGAGUGAAGAAGGCCUUCGGGUUGUAAAGCUCUUUCGGCCGGGAAGAAAUCGCAUCUCCUAAUACGGGGUGUGGAUGACGGUACCGGAAUAAGAAGCACCGGCUAACUACGUGCCAGCAGCCGCGGUAAUACGUAGGGUGCGAGCGUUAAUCGGAAUUACUGGGCGUAAAGCGUGCGCAGGCGGUUUCGUAAGACAGAGGUGAAAUCCCCGGGCUCAACCUGGGAACUGCCUUUGUGACUGCGAGGCUAGAGUAUGGCAGAGGGGGGUGGAAUUCCACGUGUAGCAGUGAAAUGCGUAGAGAUGUGGAGGAACACCGAUGGCGAAGGCAGCCCCCUGGGCCAAUACUGACGCUCAUGCACGAAAGCGUGGGGAGCAAACAGG
rnacentral:rRNA from 1 species